rnacentral:lncRNA from 1 species
AAUCAUUUGAAAUACACAAUCAAUUUUUAUUUUUUUUAUCACCCAAAAUAUGAAAAUCGCCAGAAUUGUCGUUCAAUUUAAAAAAAAAAAAAAUCAAUGAUACCUAAAAAAUUUAAUAUUUGAAAAACAUUUAUAUCAGCCAGAAUUUAUUUAAGACAGUAAAAAAAAAAUUGUUUGAUAUGGAAUAAGCUUGCAGGAAUCAAACUAAAAUCGGUAAACCACGUCAUUAAAAUUUAAGAAUCCAGAAUAUAAUAUAAUUUUCAAAAAUGGACUACGACUAGAGAUCGGCAUGAUCAUUAUGUCUCACCAUUUCACUUCGUAUCGUGAAAUGUUGGAGAGGGCUCAUGCAAUUUCGUAUCAAAUGACUACAUUUGAACAGUAUUCUCAGUAGAGGAAGGAGUCAUUGGGAAAAAGGAAGUGGAAUGAUCAGAGUAAGGACAAACGUAACUGGCCGAAUAAAAGACCAAGUAUAGGAGUUCGUAUUGGUGGGACAAGUGGGAUUAUUACACCUUGUCCUAAGUGUAAUAAACUCCACAGGGGUGAAUGCUUAUUUGGUAAGAAUAUAUGCUUUCGAUGUAGCAAGCCGGGACACAUUGCCUUACACUGUACAGAACCUCCAAAGAAGGACGAUGAUCAGGACAAUAACAAGAAAGGGAAGGCUCGAGUUUUUGCACUAAACUAGCAUGAGGCGGAGUAGGAUCCGAAUGUGAUAGCAGGUAUGGUAAUAUUAUCUAGAAUACAUAUUUAUGUUCUAAAUUUUACAUCCUUCGGCGCUAAGACUAACACUAUAAUAACGAUAAAUAGGUAUUUUUUUUAUUAUCUGAUGUACCUGCUUACGUACUUUUCGAUUCUGGGGCUACAAAUUCUUUUAUCUUUGCAUCCUUCGUCGCUAGGUCAAACUUUGCAUGUGUGAAAAUGAAUUAUGAAUUUCAGGAAGAACUCUUUGUACAAACCAGAUGACUAAGACUAUGAAGUUAGAGAUUGACGGAAAAAUAUUACAUGCUAACUUAUAACUUUUGGAGAUGAAAGAUUUCGAUGUCACGAGAAAAAAGUAUUAUUUUACAGAUCGGGAGAGGAAGAAUUCCGUUUCUUUGGAGCAAAGUUAUUCAAGCGGAAAAGAUGUUGAAAAAUGAGUCAUGUCAAGGAUUUCUAGUUAAUAUCACUAGUUCCCAAUCUAUAGAAAUGACUUUUAACGAUAUUAACAUCGUGCGAGACUUUGUAGAUGUAUUCCUCGAAGAGUUACCGAGCAUUCCACAAGAUAGGCAAGUUGAAUUUACAAUUGAUUUGGUUCCUAGAGCAGCACCAGUAUCCAAGGCCCUGUACCGAAUGACACAAAGGAACUUCAAGAAUUGAAGUUGCAAUUAGAAGAGUUGCUGGAGAAAGGUUUCAUUCGACCAAGUGUAUCUUCUUGGGGCACUCCUGUACUUUUUGUGAAGAAGAAGGAUGGAAGUAUGUGGAUGUGUAUUGACUAUUGAGAAUGAAUCAUUUAAUUAUCAAAAAUAGAUACCCCCUACCAAGAAUAGAAGCUUUAUUCGACCAAUUAAAGUGUGCAACGGUGUUUUCGAAGAUCGACUUAAGGUCGGGGUAUUAUCAGCUAAAGAUCAAGGCAAGCGAUAUACCAAAAACUGCUUUCAGGACUCAUUAUGAGCAUUACGAGUUCACUGUCACGCCUUUCGGUUUGACCAAUGCUCCAGCGGUAUUUAUAGACCUAGUGAACCGAGUGUUUCAUCAGUAUUUGGACCAGUUCAUAACAGUAUUUAUUGACGAUAUACUUGUGUAUUCCAAAGAUAGGAAGCAGCAUGGGGAACAACUCUGAAUAUUACUUGAUACUUUGAGGGAGGAGAAAUUAUAUGCCAAAUUUAAGAAGUGCGAAUUUUGGCUCGAUCGCAUAGGUUUUCUUGGUCACGUGGUUAACGCCCAAGGAAUUGAAGUAGACCCAGUUAAAGUGGAAACAGUAACUAAUUGACCUAGCUCGUCCACUGCAAGUGAAGUUCGCAGUUUCUUAGGAUUGGUCGGCUAUUAUCGGAGAUUUAUUGAGGGUUUCUAAAAAAUAGCAGGUCCAAUAACUCAGUUGACUCGAAAGGGUGUGAAGUUUCAAUGGACGGGAAAAUGUGAAAAGUAUUUUCAAGAACUUAAACAUAGAUUAGUCUCAGCUCCUGUUUUGACUAUACCUGAAGGUUCGGAUGAGUUUGUAAUUUAUAGCGAUGCCUCCAAACAGGGCUUAGGUUGUGUGUUAAUUCAACAUGGCAAGGUGAUUGCUUAUACCUCGAGACAAUUGAAACAGUACGAGUAGAACUAUCCGACGCAUAACUUGGAACUAGCAGCGGUGGUUCAUGCCUUAAAGAUAUGACGUCAUUAUCUUUAUGGUAGGAAGUGUGAAAUUUAUACGGACCACAAGAGUCUCAAAUACUUUUUCACACAGAAUGAACUGAAUAUGAGAUAGAGGAGAUGGUUGGUGAAAGAUUAUGACUGUACAAUUCAUUACCAUCCGGGUAAGGCUAAUGUAGUCGCAGAUGCCUUAAGCAGAAAGAAGGGAUUACAGUUAGCAAUUUUACCCUCCGUGCAGGAACACUUGAUAAAGGACUUUGAAAAACUAAGAAUGGAAGUCAUCACACCACCAACUCAGACUACAACGAGAAUAAGAGCAUUAAUGAUUCGACCCACUCUUCGGGAUCGAAUUAAGGAAGCACAGGAGAAGGAUCCAUUUUUGCAAAAGAUUAAGGCUAAGAUUGGUACAAAGAAGCGUAUAGGAUUCGGAGUAUCCACAGAUAAAGCAUUGAGUUUUAAAGGAAGAUUGUGUGUACCUAAGGAUGAGGGUAUAAGAAAUGAGAUAUUGGAAGAUGCUUACUCCACCCCGUAUGCGGCACAUUCUAGCGACACAAAAAUGUAUCAAGAUCUUCGAGACACAUUUUGAUGAAGAAACAUGAAAAGAGGAAUUGGUCUAUUCGUGGAAAAAUGUAUGGUCUGUCAGCAGGUUAAGGCAAAACAUCAAAGGCCAUCAGGACUGUUCAGACCACUUGAUAUUCCAGAAUGGAAAUGGGAACACAUAGCGAUGGAUUUUGUGGUAGGUCUUCCAAAAUCAGCAAGAGGUUACAAUGUUAUUUGGGUAAUGGUUGAUCGUUUGACGAAAUCAGCUCAUUUUCUGCCAAUUAAAGUAAAGUUUAGUAUGGAACAACUUGCACAAUUAUACAUCAGGGAAAUAGUCAGAUUGCAUGGAGUUCCUGUCAGCAUUGUUUCAGAUAGAGACACGAGAUUCACAUUGAAAUUUUGGAAUAGUUUACAGGUUGCUAUGGGUACGAAAUUGAAGUUUAGUACUGCUUAUCAUCCUCAGACGGACGAACAAUCAAAAAGAACCAUCCAAACUCUAGAAGAUAUGUUGAGAGCAUGUAUUUUAGAUCUUGGUGGUAGUUGGGAGACACGCCUACCUUUAGUGGAGUUUGCUUAUAACAAUAUUUUUCAGGCCACCAUAGGUAUAGCCCCAUAUGAAGCUCUUUAUGGUAGGAAGUGCAAAUCCCCUAUCCAUUGGGAUGAGGUCGGGGAGAAUAGAAUUUUGGGUCCUGAAAUCAUUCAAUGAAAAGUUGAGGCAGUUGACAAGAUUAGAGCCAGAAUAAAGACAGCACAAGACCGACAAAAAAGUUAUGCUGAUGGUAGGAGAAAGGAUUUUGAAUUUAGUGUGGGCGACAAAGUUUUUCUUAAAGUAGUACCCAUGAAGGGUGUAUUGAGAUUUGGAAAGAAAGGGAAGUCGAGACCGUAAUUCAUUGGACCUUUUGAAAUUCUUGAAAGGAUUGGUAGUUUGUUUAGCUUACAGACUUGCCUUACCACAUGAACUAGCAGCAGUGCAUAAUGUGUUUCAUGUUUCGAUGCUCAGAAAAUAUGUCUAUGAUCCCAAACAAAAAGAUUUAUCGUAUGAGGAAAUCCCAACGAUCAUUUUGGAUAGAAAAGUACAUCAACUCAGAAACAGAAAAGUACCCUUGGUCAAAGUGCUAUGGAGAAAUCAUGGAUGAGACGAGUCAACAUGGGAGAAGGAAGAGGAGCUUAGAAUCAAGUAUCUAGAGCUCUUUGAUUAGCCAAGGUAAAUUUUCGUGGACGAAAAUAUUUCAAGGAGGGGAGGUUGUAAUGUCCCGAAAAUUUUGGUGGAAUGAAAUUUAAUUUUGUAAGCUAUAUUUUAAUGUUUUGAAAAUUUAGGGACUAAGGUAUAUAUAAAGUAAAUUUUAAAUUUUAUUUAGGUUAAAAUAUAUAUAUUGAAAGAGCAAUAAUAAGUAUAUAAAUAUUGGGCUCGUUGGAUAGAUCGUAAUUAAUCAUGCAUAUUAGACUUGAGAAAAAGUUGAUUGGAUAAGUUACACUCAAAAUAUUGAAGUUUAUAGAUCUUGCCACUAAUUAUAAUUGUUUAUAAUUGUUUUGAAUAUAUAAAAGCCGUAACACGUGUGAAUUGGGUGGGCUAGAAUAAGGUAAAUUCUUCCCUUAUUGGUACGUAUAAUAAAAUAUAUAUUAUAUCAACUUUCUUGGAAAUAGUACAUAAUAAUUAUGACCUUGUACCCCAUCAUGUCAGCCAUCCUUGAUUGAAAAUAGAUAAUUUCUUUAAUUGAGUGAAAUGAAACGUGUAUAACAAAAAAAAAAAAAAAAAAACGCGUAUUUUUUGUAACGACCCAAGUCUCUGUAUCCAAGCUUUUAGCUUACGUAUUGUUCGCUCUGGGGUGAGCCUUGCGCCCACUUACCCCUCAAGGCUUUUUGUUGCGUCUUCCAGGAUUCGAACUCAUAACAUUUCCUUUAAGUAAGGCUUAAGUUGAAUUUUGGUACCAAUUGAGUAAGGCCCACCCAAAGCGAACAAUACGUAAACUAACGGUUUGGAUACAGACACCCGGGUCAUUACAAAAUCGAUCCACUUUGUUGGAAUAGAAACUGAUAAAUUGUUUAACUGGAGAUGAAUACGUGUAAAAGAAUCAAGACUUGUGAUUUAAUGUACCAAAUAUAUUAUAUUUGGGCAAGUUUAAAGAAAUUACACUUCCUUUUGAAUCACAACCCACUACUAGCCUCGAUCCUUCACAUGGGUCAUUACCUAACCACAAUUCAACAAGCAUGGAGGGAUAAUUCAUCCCAUCAAUAAACUCUAAGAGAGUCAUUACUUUUGGAGUACGGGGAGCUCUCGUAUUAGAUUAAGAGAAAGGAAUUCAACUUACAAGUAACAUUGAUAGCUUUGAAAUUUGGCAUUGGACUCAUAAAAUGAUUGUUGUUUAAAUCUAACUAGCCUAAUGGCAUAGUUGUGAAGUUAUUGGAAAUCAAACCAGCAAGUUCAUUGAUUUUAGAUUUAGAUCCUGCAAAGAUAUUUACUGAUAUUAUCUGAGAUCUUACCUGUAAAAUGAUUCCCAUGGAGCCAAAGACUGGUGAGUGACCCCAUUGAUGUAACUUUAUCAAUACGACCAGUCAAGCCAUCACCAAAUCUUCAAUUGGACAAAAGUAUAGUCAACAUUUAGCCCCCGUUUGGCUCCCAUUUUCAAAAAAUAAAAAUGGGUGGAAUGGUGUUUUUUUUUUUGAAAAAUGAGUGGUUAAAAAAGAAGUAAAAUAUUUCGAUUUACGCGUAAUAUUAUUUUAUGAAAGAUUGUGUGUUGAAAAUAGGAGAGAGAAAUAAAAUGUAAUGAAAUGUAAUUUAAUGGGGGGUCAAACGAGGGCUUAGUCUCUAAAACUCUAUGAAAUACCACCACCAACCCAAUUGAGAGAAAACUUCAAAACUGUUAAAGAUGUCAUUUUUCCAGGCAAAGAACCAGCCAAAUUUCUUAAAGGAAAGGCUUUGCGUUGGUCAUUUGAUGCAGGCCAUGCCCUCCUAGGUUUUUCAUUUAUUGAUAGAUGACGGUGGUAGAGAGAAGCCGAGUAUAAAUUGAGAAUAUGAGGGCUAAGUUAGAUACCACGUUCUGCAGUUGUUUACUUAGAAUUGGAGAUGGAACAGAAAAAUAUACUUGUAAGUGCAUUAUGCUUUCAGACAGUAUAGUUUUGUCAUUUGAAGAUGAAAUCACAUUUUUAGCAGUUUUGAUACAUCAUGUUUUUUAAAUAAAGAAGCAUAUGAUGACAAUUUCAAUUUACACAUCAAAUUUCAAUUUUGAUAUAUAUAUAUUAUCUUUUAGUUUACACAUCGAAUUUCUAUGCCCCUCAAACAGACACAAUGUACCAUAAAGGUUCUUAUUUCUUAUUCUAGAGGUAUUUUUGAUGCUGAGGCGGAGGUAAAAGGAGAAAGUGAGACCAAAGAGGAUGAAAAAAAAAAGCCUUGGGGUAUAUCUCAUUGAUUUUGAUUUAUUUUUGGUAAUACUAGAUUCUUGUAGAUGAUAGUUCUAAAUGUAUUGAUUAUUGUAUUCUGUUUUCUCGGACAGUUUUUGAUAUCUAUUUGUACUUGAU